GGGUCAUGGUCGAAACGGUCCAGGUUCAAAUAGCCAACUUGGAAAAAUGGAGAGUAAGACAUGUCAAAAGAACACAGGGAAAACAAACAACGGUGGCAAAAAGAACAAAAACACCAAACACUUGAAUCAACACAGUUCAUUCAUACAAAGACCAGCACAGACCAGGGCAAACAGGGGCUUUUAAAUCACAGGGAUGAUGAGGAACAGGCAGAAAACAGGUGGAAACAAUAAGGGGUGGAGUCACGAAACAAGGGGGCAGGACAGUGAAGUAAACAUAACACGAGCACAUGGACAGGACUGGAAAGUAAACAAGAGCACAUGCAUGACUGGGAGGGGCCAAUUGUGAUACUUGUCAACCUCAAGUAACAUUAUAAUUGAGUGUCUGUAAUGCACACCUGUCAUCUGUGUCUGACAGGUGCACAUAAUCAACAUGAACGUGACAUAUUAAAGGGCUUUUGAUAUCAGAAUGCCAGCCAUGGCAGCACCUAGUGAUCGCGUAUGGAUAUUUGCAGUAAAAAGGAAAACAACCUGAGCAACUGUAAGCCUGUAAAGGUCAGUUCAGGUCUUUUUGUGCUUGAAUAAGACACUGUGGGUGGCUGGGUUAAGAGAUUCGGCGCAGGCACAAGACUUUAUGUAACAGACAACAAAGUACAAGCACCUACAUUAUCGGUGUACCCAAUAGUCAAACAGAGCAAUGGAAAGAGCAUGCUGCUGUGCCAAGCCAGAGACAUGUAUCCAAGCCUGGUGAGGUUCAAAUGGACGGAAGGUAGUAGUAAUGCGGAAGGUGAUCUGAUGGAGCAGAAUGAUACUUCAACGGUGACCAGCAUGCUCAUCGUAGAUGAAGACAAAGCAAAGAACAAUGAAUACACCUGCAUUGUCCAACACGAGGGCAGUGUUAAUGAUAACAAGCUGGUCAUCUCAAAAGAAGAUGGUAAACCACCUACGACUGAAUCACCUAAUGGGGAUGUUCCAACCUGUUCACCAUCACCUGGCCGAAAAGAAGAGGAAAGCACAAAUUUUGUUUCGUCGGAGCUGGUGCACAGACUCUAUCUGUUCAAUCUCACGUACGUGUCUCUGCUGGUGAAGAACGUGCUGUAUUUCUGUGCUGUGGGGGUCUUACUGUACAAGAGGAGGGCCGGAAACAGUGAGACAUUUAGCAAACCCAGUCCCACAUCAAACUAGGACGACGGAGCAGAUAUUUUACAUAGGCUAGUAGUCAAAAGACUGGACACACCUGGCUGUAUGUUUUUCAUAAUCUUUUCAUAAUAAAAGGCAAAUAUGAAUAUUCAAAUUGGCGCCUAUCCAAAACAUAUAAAUAAAAAUAGUAAAGAUUGUAAACCAUUUUUUGGGAAAGAAGUAGUUCAUGUUUAGGACUUCAGAGAUGGAACCACAACCAUUAUGACCUUAUCAUUACUAUGUGUGUCUCAUUAAAAGAUUAUUAAUUAGCGGAAUUUCUGUUGCCGUUAAUGUAUUUCAGCCAAUCAGCUUUGUGGGAAACUUACUAGAUCUUACUAGAUCUUACUAGGUAAAAAUCCAGUAACUCCAUAUGAACUAUUUCAUAGUUUGAUGUCUUCAAUUUUUUGAGGUAAUGUUUCACAUAUAUGGAAAAUAGUAAAUAAAAUAGAUGUAUGAGUAGAUGUGUCCAAACUUAUGACUGGUAGGGUAUAUAUUUUUUUCACUCGUUUGUUGUUUUUUUUUUCUCUUAACAGUUUUAUCUUUUAUUUUAAUCCUUUUAUUAGUUGCCUCCUAGCCUUAGAUUGCUUGGCACAGGUAUGAUUUGUUUUCUUUUGUCUAAUUAUGUUCUGCAACAUCAGACUGAUUAGACCAUAAAGAUGUGUUUUUUUAAGGUACUUUUGUUUGUAUACAGUCACUUUUACACUUUUCCUGUAUUAAUCUAUCUACGUUAUUCAUGUUUGAUCAUUGCAUACAGUCUUAUGCAAAUGUUUAGGCACCACUGAUUAAAUUACAUGCUGAUUUUCUAAAUUGAGUUACACAUCCUCUAUAGGGAACACACUUCUGCACAUUUUAAUGCUCUAUUACUGUUUAUUUGCUGGAUUUAACACACUGGGAAAAAUGGCCUUUGUAAUAGUUGUGGCACAUUUUAUAUUCUAUGUGUUAUUUUUUCUGAUACAUUAAAAUAGCAAAUAGGUAAAAUUGUGCACUAAUAUUUGCAAACAAAUAUUUAGGUGUGUUCUCUCUACAGGAGGUGUCAUUUGAUACAGGGUGUUCUUGCAUAUGACUGUGUUCUCUCCUUUAAUUCUAUUAUCUUUAGCAUGCACUUAUUGUUUUAGGAAGUUAGAAGCAGAAAUGCUAGAGAGUUCUUGGCUGAUUAAGUGUUAGCUAAGCAUAUAUAAACCUGUAUUUACUCAUUCUGUAUCUCUUUUUGUCUCUAUUUCAAUUAAAGAACCAGUUUAUGCUUUUAAUGUUUGUAUUUUUUCUUCAAAGAAAGUUUCAAAUAAAUCUGGUUUCAGCCACAAUGUCUUCCUAAUCAUUUGGUGUCAAUCCUGAUCAAGAAUGAAUUUUUCCAAAUCACUGCAGCACAAAGAUCAUCGUCAGUAAUACUGAACUCUUUCUCUAACAGUCCAAUAAUGACCUCUUCAUAAAUCUCACAGUGAUGAUAGACACAUUCACACAGGAGUCAUGUAGCUCUUUAAGAUUCAUCAUUAAUCUCUGUUAUCCAGUUUAGUGGUGGAAUGUCAUGGUACACUCUAAGAAAACUGGUUAAACUCUCACGGGGAUGGUACCUUCAAGAGUAUGUCUUCAGUACCUU
ensembl:lncRNA